CUCCCGUGUCGUGUCGGCCAAGCGGGCCUCGCGGGCCCGGCAGGUUCGCGCCGCUCCGCCUCGCCGCCGCAGGGGGCCCCCUCGCGGGGGGAUGGCCUUCUCCCCCAAAACGUGUUCUGUCACCAGCAGGGCUCUCCUCCUGCCCCACUGUCUGGAAGAUGUCAGAUUCCGGGCACCUCGUCCUCCUCACCCAACAACGAUGUUUUGUGUCUUGAUCCCAGUUGAAGAGGCUGGCACACAAACAGCCUAAGGCUAUUCAUUCCUGGAACAAUUUUACAUAUGCAAGACGGAAGCCAGGACGGAUCUCUUCAUCCCAGACGUGGUCGUUCACACACAUUCUGGGUGAACGAGUCAUGCUCUGGGGUCAGGUCAGGAAGUGUCUACUGUUGGACGAAAGAUUCUGCAGGAAAAGGUGAAAGAUGCUUCAUGUCUCUGGGAGCGGAGAAAGAGAAAAGAGGCCAGUCUUGUCUACAGCUGUCACGGUGAAAAGUUCCAGGAAUUCAGAACUUGGGCACU